AGAUUCUCUUCAACGUCCAGCAUACCUACCAUGUUCACGGCCAAAUCGCCGCCUUUAGACUGGCCAGGCGGCAUAAAGAAAAGCCAUGUUGAAGUACACAAUAUGGCACAAACCUUUCCCCAGAAGAUCAAAACUAAUAGGCUUAAAAGGAGCAAACUCAAUCCAGUAUUUGAACUAAAAACUCCACACCUAACUUUCUUUGUUGGAAUGGGAACAUGUUUUUA
rnacentral:lncRNA from 1 species